rnacentral:misc_RNA from 1 species
GGAUGAAGAACGCAGCGAAAUGCGAUAAGUAAUGUGAAUUGCAGAAUUCAGUGAAUCAUCGAAUCUUUGAACGCACAUUGCGCCCGCCAGUAUUCUGGCGGGCAUGCCUGUUCGAGCGUCAUUUCAACCAUCAAGCCCCCGGCUUGUGUUGGGGACCUGCGGCUGCCGCAGGCCCUGAAAACCAGUGGCGGGCUCGCUAGUCACUCCGAGCGUAGUAAUACAUCUCGCUCAGGGCGUGCUGCGGGUUCCGGCCGUUAAAAAGCCUUAUUUACCCAAGGUUGACCUCGGAUCAGGUAGGAAGACCCGCUGAACUUAAGCAUAUCAAUAAGCGGAGGA